rnacentral:rRNA from 1 species
CUGCAGCUCAAGUGGUGACCACUAUUAUUGGGCCUAAAACGUUCGUAGCCGGUUUGGUAAAUGCCUGGGUAAAUCGUGUAGCUUAACUAUACGAAUUCCGGGUAGACUGCCAUACUUGAGACCGGGAGAAGCUAGAGGUACUCCUGGGGUAGAGGUGAAAUUCUGUAAUCCUGGGGGGACCACCAGUGGCGAAGGCGUCUAGCUAGAACGGGUCUGACGGUGAGGAACGAAGCCCUGGGGCGCAAACCGGAUUAGAUACCCGAGUAGUCC